GAUGAAGAACGUAGCGAAAUGCGAUAAGUAAUGUGAAUUGCAGAAUUCAGUGAAUCAUCGAAUCUUUGAACGCACAUUGCGCCCGCCAGUAUUCUGGCGGGCAUGCCUGUCUGAGCGUCAUUUCAACCCUCAUGCCCCUAGGGCGUGGUGUUGGGGAGCGGCCAAAGCCCGCGAGGGACGGCCGGCCCCUAAAUCUAGUGGCGGACCCGUCGUGGCCUCCUCUGCGAAGUAGUGAUAUUCCGCAUCGGAGAGCGAUGAGCCCCUGCCGUUAAACCCCCAACUUUCCAAGGUUGACCUCAGAUCAGGUAGGAAUACCCGCUGAACGUAAGCAUAUCAAUAAGCGGAGGA
rnacentral:misc_RNA from 1 species